CCAGGGCACCAGAAAGUGCUCCUUAUUGAGGCUAAUGAAAAACCCUAUGCGACGGGCAGUGAAAUUGCUCUUACCUGUGGAGUGGUCGCUCAUUUGAGGAGAGUCUCUCUCCCGUUGGUGGUGCCCUUUUUGCCCAGUGAUGUGGUUGUUUUCCUGUCUCUAGCUGCCCCACUGCUGGGCUGGUGCACACUGAGCAGCAGGGCCCAUGAGAAGACCAUCUCAGAAUAUACCUCGUGGGAAUAGAGCAGAGAGCCUUCCUGAACCGAUAGCCUGGGAGCAAGCAGGACCUCAAAAGCUGGCUUAAGUGAACCCGUGACUCGUGGUCACUCUUGGCAACAAAGAAGAGAUAAUGGAGAUUAGACAGAGCAUGACAUCACUUCAAAAACAAGAGGAAGAAGAGGGGACUCGAUGACCUCAAAUCACCUGGGAAAAGAACAGUGAGCCAGUGGAUUUUAAGAUCCCAGAGGACAGGAACCAUCCUCAGUACCAUCAUCCUGUAAGCUCCAUGAGGACAAGGAUUUUUGUUUCCUGAUGAGCUCCAAAUAUUCAAAAAAGGCUCCUGGCAUAUGCCAACAGGGACCAGGACUUUACGCUGGACAUUCUGCUCGCUUCUGUCAUAACAGAAGGGGUCUUCUAAUUACAUUUACGAUUGGAAAGAGCAGAAGAUGAAGAAUUGGGUCCAAACUGAGCAUCAAUGGGCCAUGUGAUUUGCACCAGCCACUUCGCCUCUGUGAGCCUCAGUUUCCCCAUCUGUACAAUGAGGAGGUGGCAUCAAUGACCUCUAAAGAAUUACCCAGAGUCAACAGUCCAUUCGCCUCUCUGGUCCUAUAGCCCUUAGGAAGAACCAGUACGCUGCUCCCAGGAUCCUCAUUGUUUCCAUAUUCUGCCUCUUAUCAGUCAGGAUGCUCUGGCUGCCAAUAACAGAAAAUCUAGCCCCAAAUGG